rnacentral:lncRNA from 1 species
AGAAUUCCCGGCCACACUGUGUAAUUGCAUUUGUUAAGGAGUGUGAAUGUUGUUGAUGCUACUCCUGUUGUUGAAAUAUAAAGUGUAAGGAAAAUUGAAAAUAAUUUUGUAAUUAGUUGAUCCAUGUACUUAUUAGAACUUAAGUAGGUACUUAAUUAGAUAAUUUGGAAGAAGAAGAAGAAGAAGCUAGUUAUGCAACUUCUUCUUUGUAGGGUAAUAUACUAUAAAUUUGGGGAGAAAAGGUUACGGAAUUGGAAUUUGGAGGUGAAAGGUGGCUUUAAGUUGGUCUUUUUUUGUGGGAUAAGGUGGUGGCGUUAACUUUAGCUUAUACUAUAGGGUAUGGUUACUUAUACAAAUAUAUAUUGCUUAAAUGCAUAGAAAAUGAACACGAUUUUUCCCUUUUUUUGGGGCUCUUUCCGAAAGUUGUUUAGGAAUUUUACCGAAAAUUUCUCAUCGCACUACCCAUUUUCUCACCGCACCCCUGGAAAUUCCAU